AGUGAAGCGGGGUGAGCUCAAAUUUAAAAUCUGGCCGGUUUACUGGUCCGAGUUGUAGUUUAAAGAAGCGUUUUCGGUGGCAACCUGGGUAUAAAUCCUUUGGAAUAGGGUAUCAUAGAGGGUGAGAAUCCCGUCUUUGACUCAGUGGAUGCUACUAUGUGAUACGUUUUCAAAGAGUCGAGUUGUUUGGGAAUGCAGCUCAAAAUGGGUGGUAAAUUUCAUCUAAAGCUAAAUAUUGGCGAGAGACCGAUAGCGAACAAGUACCGUGAGGGAAAGAUGAAAAGAACUUUGAAAAGAGAGUAAAAUAGUGCGUGAAAUUGUUGAAAGGGAAACGUUUGAAACCAGUGAUGCGGGUGGAAAAUCAGUCUUUUGAAGUGAGGAGUGGCACGAGUUUGGACCCGCAAGGGCCAGCUUGUGUCUCAUCUUUGCUUGAAGGGAUGCACUUUUUCAUUUGCAGGUCAACAUCAGUUUUCUUUGCUGGAUAAAACUCUAAGAGAAUGUAGCAGCUUUGGCUGUGUUAUAGCUCUGGAGCGAUACAGUGAAGGGGACUGAGGUUUUUAAUUCGCAGCGUGUGCUCUCGGGCAAGGCUGACUGGGUGCUAUGAGAUAGCUCGGUGUACAAUGCUUGCAUUUUGCAUCGAGUCUGUCUUGUACUCGCUCAACUCGGCU
rnacentral:rRNA from 1 species